rnacentral:tRNA from 1 species
AAUAUAGAAGUAUUAUGUACAUUUGAUUUCCAAUCAAAAAGUGAAUGUAUUU